rnacentral:rRNA from 1 species
UGGGGAAUAUUGCACAAUGGGCGCAAGCCUGAUGCAGCGACGCCGCGUGAGGGAUGACGGCCUUCGGGUUGUAAACCUCUUUCAGCUACGACGAAGCGUAAGUGACGGUAGUAGCAGAAGAGGCACCGGCCAACUACGGGCCAGCAGCCGCGGUAAUACGUAGGGUGCGAGCGUUGUCCGGAAUUACUGGGCGUAAAGAGCUCGUAGGUGGUUUGUCGCGUUGUCCGUGAAAACUCACAACUCAAUUGUGGGCGUGCGGGCGAUACGGGCAGACUGGAGUACUGCAGGGGAGACUGGAAUUCCUGGUGUAGCGGUGGAAUGCGCAGAUAUCAGGAGGAACACCGGUGGCGAAGGCGGGUCUCUGGGCAGUAACUGACGCUGAGGAGCGAAAGCGUGGGGAGCGAAC